rnacentral:tRNA from 1 species
GUCCGGGUGGCGCAGCGGGGCGGCGCGACCGUGUUCAUGGUGGUGCAGACGGCGCUGGCGGCAUUGCUGGCCCGGCUCGGUGCGGGCACCGACA